AUGGCAUUUAGGUUAGCCACUCCCUAAAGUUGUUGUAAAAGUGAGUGAUAAACUUAUAUGAAAGUGUUGGGUGAAUUUUUAAGAAAGAAAACAAAUCAUUCAUACCUUUUCAUAAUUAUUAAUCCUUGGAGGAUUAAUAACAACAUGGGUUAACGCUGCCUUCUGAUUUUAAAAGCUGGUGUGUAGGAAACAAGGUGGAGUGUAACACGCACCACCCUGCCAACUCUGGGUCCCGUGCCAGUUCAGCAGUGACAGGGUGGCAAAGAGGAGCUAUUAAACAGACUGCCCUUUUCUUCACUGAGGCGCUCAACUAAGGCACAGCUCUGGCACCAAGAGUUGUGCCAAGGAGGCCAAGUUUUCAUGGCAGCUCAGCUGUCUUCUAGCUUUGUGGGUAAAUCGGUUAUUUUCUCUGUCUCAUUGCUACUUUAAAAUAGAAACCAUGAAGCUAACCUGCCUACCUCUUCUCACACAAUUGGUUGUGGGAUUCAAAUGAGGCUAUGGAGAAGCCCUUGGGGAUCAGGGAGGAGCCAUACAGCUGGGAGGUGAAGUUAUCCUGCACGAACAAUGAAAAAUAAGAAUAGGAUCGAAAUCCCGUCUCCAUGCAAAUUUGGAAUCCCCAAAGGCUAUCAGGAGGGCAAUUAUAUUGACAACUCAUUUUAAAUUCUUUCUCUUAGUUCUAGUUGCUUUUGAAGACAACAGAAGUACUGGUGGUAGAGAGAAAGGAAAGGAUCCUGGUUUAUUCUGCAAAGUCCUGUGUUUUAUGGAAGAAAAUCAUGUUAAGUAUUUAACGCUCCUGUUAGAUGCUGACCCAAAAGAGGUGCCUAUUCACCUACAGAGAGCAUGGUUUAAGUCAAGCAUUUUGUAUUCAUGAGGACAGCAAAUAUGUGUGGUGUUGAAGCGAUUUAGUUCAUUGACUGUUGGCUGGAUGACUGAGCAAGAAUACUGAGGCAUUUAACAAUGUUGCUGGUAUUCAGGACAAACAUUUAUCCUCUAGAGAGAAGAAUUUGAUCAGGAUGAUCAAAUGCAACUCUGGUUUCUCAAUUAUUUAUGAUUUGAGACUCCAGUGCUACUCAUCACAGCUGGUUCUGUCGCCAUUUAAUUAUUCAUAGUAAUCAACUACACCUCUGUAAACUUGAUCAGUCUUAAAAUAGGCUUUGCUGCAUCAAAAUCCUGUGAGUGAACAAAUCCUGGGCAUCUAUAGCCUAUUUGUAUCCUUUAAAGGAAUAUUCUGGCUAAAAGCUUUAGUCACCUCUUCCCAGCUUUACAGCUUAAUAUUAUUAGCUGAUAGUUAUGGAGCAGGGUGGGGCCGGCAAGGAGGAAGGAGACACUGUUGUGUCGCCAUCUCCGUCUUUCCUGACUUGGCAAAUUUAAUAGUGAAGCUGUUCACAACAGGAAGAAUAGCCUUUCUUUUGAAAAGAACAGUAAAGCAGCAAUAUAAAAGAGAAUAAGACAGUGCAAAAGCUCACCAGUAUACUGUCACCUUCUAAUUUGGCAAAAACUUGAAGUAUUCUAAACACAAACAUUCUUUAUUGGGAGCUCUGCUAAAAUGGAAAAGUGGUAACAGGCCACUAAAGCAACUAUUAAGGGUGUUUUAUAAACAGAGAUAGUAAUAGGCUAGAUCAGAAAGACCAGAAAAAAUCCUGUGUAAUGAUCAAAGGAAUGAAAUUAAGCCCUACAUUGAGGUAAAAUAGUAAUGUCAGCCUCAUAUCCAUUUGUGUGUGAAGAUGACAGCCUGCCUUUACUUGGCACUGUGUGUGUAAUGUGGCACUCCUUCCUCAGAACUGCCCCCUUGGAUGGGUGCUAUCUCACUCUUGCCAUUUUAGGUGAGGAAACUUUAUGCAGGAGACAGCUGAGGUGUUCAGGGGCCAAGCUUUCAAAUGGCACCAGCAGGGUUCUGACUCAAACCCACAUGCCAUCCAGACUCUCACUGAAGUAGUGCUGUGCAGUGAACAAGAGUCAGAAAAAAUAAUCAAGUAACUAAACUGUCUAUGCUUUGGCCAAGAAAACCAAAAAAGGAGACCCAAAUUAGGAGCUCUCUAUGAAAAUCCUCAACAGCUCACUAGUGACCUGGAGCUGAUCGAAGUACUCAUCUGUUGAGGUAGAGAGAAAUACCACUCAAUACUCAAUUAUUGGCUAUUAAGAGGAGAUAAAACAACUCAUUUGUCAGGUACGGAGCAGUCCAUUUUCUGGACAGGACAUUCAGGAUAAAUUACAGUCCUUGCCCCGAAGAUAUCCAUCUGGCUGGGUGGGGCGAGAGCAGAGGGUACACAACUAAAGUAUAAAACAGGCCAAAAAAGGUAAUUGGUAUAAAGCAGGUAUAGCUCUAAAUUUCCAUGGAGAAAGACAUCUAGGAAUUCCAAUUGGGUAUUUCAGUCAGCGUUCUCUUUGUUCCGCCUGGUUUAAGAAUCCUGGAAGUAAAAACUGUGGUGAUAGGACUGGGGAUUUAGCUCAGUGGUUCCACUGCCUGCCUCACAAGCGCAAGGUCCCAAGUUCAAUCCCCGGCACCAAAAAGAAAAAUUGUGGCGAAUAGCUGUCAUGUUUUCAGGAUUCUGCUGCUUGGGGAAUGAGGAAAACAACUCACUGGGAAUAUUAUUUCUUUAAAAAUGGUGCUGAAAGUCAGCAUUUUAUCUUUGUCAGGUACAUGGUGGAGAGUGUGAAAAUCUGGUCACAUCACAGCUUGAAACAACUUUACAGCCACUGGAAAUAACAUCAGUCCUUGUCUCUGGGUAGUGUUGGUGGCUCCGUUCACUUAGCUACCUGACCUGAUUUUAUCAUCACUGACCUUCCAAGGAAGCAGCAUCCCAGAAUGUUUUUAACAGAUUAGCAGCUUCUCUCCAGGCCCACAGACCAGCUGCAAGACAAUGGUGCUACAUUGGACUCUCCAAAGAUGGACUGAUUUUUUGAAGGGCAAAGGCAAUUGUUGCAGAUAAAGAUAGAUGGAGUUGACAGGGGAAGAGAACAACAGUGAAAGACAAUAAAGUAUAGAGCAUAAAAUCCGCAGUCCUUCCAAAGGCACAGAAUGAAAACUGAGACCGGAAAGGAUGUGCAUAGAAGAUGGAAUAAGGACUUGAAAGGCUUGAAGGAAUCCAGAAUCUAUCUGGAGGCUUUGGAGUAAGAGACUAACAAAAGUCAGCACCACACUGCAAGUCAGUUUGGAGCAUUUUUUGACCUGAGGAGAUUAUAUGAGGUAGAAGAUCAGCUGUGUCAGAUACUCCACAAGCAGUGGCAAGUCGUGACCUAGCCGUAUCAGUCUUGUGUAAGGUGGACCCCUUCACGCAAGUGUAGGCUGCGUGAACGGUAGAAAUACUUGAUCUAAUGCUGGGUCACCAGGUCCAGAAUAUUUCUUCCACUCAUUCUGCUGACUAAUCUGAAAGAUUGCUAGCUAUGCUUUUGUUCAGUUGUUUUGUUUUUGAAUGGGGUCACAGAUUGAUAGGACAGAAGGUCUUCAAGGACAGUAGGUCUUCGUGUGCUCUUUAGAGACCCUCUCA